UGACUUUGGACAUCGGGUUUCCUCUUUUAGAGCCAGCGGGGAUUAGGCGAGGGGCCCCGCGGGUGAGCCCCCCUGGCGCUUAGGAGCCCUGAGAACAGCACGCGCCUCUCCACUCAAGAGCAUCAGCCUAUGAGGGGACGGUUCCGACGCCGCUCGGGCAGGGCUGUGCCCUCCGCGGAAGGUUCAGCGUGGUCUCUGGGCAUCAUUGCCGCGUCCUCGCGUACGGCGCCACCGGAAGUGCUCGCGGCAGGACCCGGGUGCUCGGGUACGGGGACCCACCGUUUAUACAGGCGCCCACCCCGGGUAUCCCACGCAGGGCCUUCCUCCCACUUCCAGGAGCUCAGAACUUGCCCACUUCUACCAAAAGCUGCAACUUCCCAGUGGCCAAGUCGCUGAGAAGGCGGUCUUGCCGGCAAGCGUGGGGAGAAAUAGAUUGUCUCCUUAGAAAGGCAAUGGGCUUGGCGCGCGCACCCUGGUGACUGAGGAGGAAAAGGAGACUUCGAACUGUCUCGAGGCUCGUCUUUUGCAUGUGGGUGUCACGUGUCUGAAACAACCUAUUCACAGCCUCUCAAGAAACCCUACAUGCAAUGAUGCUUAUUUGAUUUUUUAGUUGUCAAGUCUUAGACUGUCCCCAGGCCUGGUCUUGCUGGUGCUUGGAAACAGAGGGGGGGGACCUCGAG